rnacentral:misc_RNA from 1 species
GCGAAGCGAAUACCCAGCGGUUUUACAAGUGUAACCAUAUACUCAUUCAAAUUCAUGUUGAAAGGUGAAUCAGAAGAUGAAGACAUAGCAGAAAUCGGCCGAUAUUGUCGUCGUUUAACUGCCGAGCUAGCUGUAAGCCGUGCAUCACUGAAGCACAACUCUACUCCCCAAAAUGAGGAGAAAACCACACAUUUCUGCAACUUAUCUGAAGAAGAAGAGAAGUUAGCAUCGUUGAAAACCCUGCAAUUCGGAAGUUGUAGUGAACACAUUUUCAAAGAACAAUGUGAUUGAUUGUAGAAAGAAGUAGUAUAAUUUGUGUGCAUAAAGAUGUGAGUAAGUUCUAGAGACAUGGAAGAA